rnacentral:ncRNA from 1 species
AUAUAAAAUAARUUUUUUAUGAUUUAUAAAAUUUUUUAAAAUUUAUUUUACAUAUAAAUUUUAGUGUAWAUUUUUAAAUAUUUUAARAAUAUUUAAUUUWAUUAAAUUAGUAAUUAAYAUUAAAAAUUUAAGAAAUUAAGAUUUAGUAAUAUUAAAAUUAAUAACAAAUUUUGUGCCAGCAGUUGCGGUUAUACAAAAGUUAAAUUAAAUUUUAUUAGUAAUAAUUAAUAUAAAAUAAKUUAAUUUAAAUAUUAAAUUAAUAAGUGAAAUUUUAAUUUAAUUAAAAWUUAUAAUAAAAAUUAUAUGAUUUAAUAAAUUUUAAUAUAAACUAGGAUUAGAUACCCUAUUAUUAAAAAUUUAAAUUUAAAAUACUAAAAUAGUAAAUAAUUAUUUAUUUAAACUUAAAUAAUUUGGCGGUAUUUUAGUUCAUUUAGAGGAAUCUGUUUAUUAAUUGAUAAUCCACGAAUAAUUUUACUUAAUUUAUAAUUUUGUAUAUCGUUGUUAWAAAAAUAUUUUUAAAUAAAUUUAAUAUUUUAAAAUUWAAAAAGAAAAUUAAAUCAGAUCAAGAUGCAGAUAAUAAUUAAGAAUAUAAUGGAUUACAAUAAAUUUAUUUAUAUGAAUAUUAAAUUGAAAAAUUUAAUUGAAAGUGGAUUUAAAUGUAAUUUUAUUUAAUUUAAUAAAAUGAUUAAAAAUUAAAAUAUGUACAUAUUGCCCGUCGCUUUCAUUAAUAAAUUGAAAUAAGUCGUAACAAAGUAGAGGUACUGGAAAGUGUUUCUAGAAAGAA